UCACAGUCCUGUGGGAUUCCAUUCCAGCUGGAUUCCAUUUCACGUGAGUCCAUAUGACUAGUUCUGGCCAAAGGAGUCAUGAACAGAAGUAGCAUGCGUUACUUCUAGGCCAGGGCAUUUAAUUGCCAGAGUGAAACCCUCAUGAAUUCUUUCCUGCUGCUACAAUGAUUGACAGCAUUCCAGAUAGUGGCUGUAGCAUCUAUCAAUUUGUCUCUGAAACACAAUAAAAUGAAGAACUCUCAACUGAUCUGCACUGGAUGUACCAAAGUUGAACAUGCAUCAUUCAUUCAGUCAGUCAUCAAAUAUUUGUUGAACGCGUCUUAGAUACCAGGUGAUGAAGAAAUACAGACACAGCCUUGCCAGCACAAAGGUCUCCCAAGGCUUGUAGAGUUAAAGUGCACUUUGCCCAUAUUAAAGAGGAACUUCCUGAUAUUAAAAUGGAAUGAGUUUCCAAGAUUGUUUGGAAUUCCUUCUCUGCAGAGCUUUCAAAACAAUCCAUCUUAUCGUGUGUCUUUGGUAAUUUAAAUGUGGUUGUGCUUGAAGGCCAGAGAUUAGGGUCCCUUUCAAUCUUAUGACCUGUGGGCAACUCAGGUUGUUGUAUCCAGUAAGUGAAGAGUUUGUGAAAAUGCGCAUAAAACUAUACUGCGCAUGUGCAAAUGCGUAUAGGGGAAGAGAGGGCUUGUUGGUCCUAGAGGUCUGUGUCUCUCAAACUGGGACGUGCAUGAGCCCAGGGGGACAGAGUGUCAUGUCAGUGUAUAUCUGAAGCUGCAGGAGACACAUGGUGCAUCUUCCUGAGAGGUCAAUAAUCCGAAAAAUAGUGCAGAAAAGCAUUUUGAAUUUUUAUUUUAUUUUUAUUAGAAUAAAUAUGGAUGUAUCAUUAAGUAGAAAUCACAAAUUCUUGCAUUGACUGAAAAAAUAAGAUAGAAGUCUUAAACAAUUUGGACUACUUUGGAUUGUUCCUCCCGUGUCUGCCCAGGGUGCUCAUCCUCUCUCCUGCUGGACUUUGGUGGCGAUGGUCACUGGCUCCUCUGCAGGUAAAAACGUGUGACAUAAAACGCUGGUUUCAAUUCCUAAUUAUUAUAGCGUGAGUAACGUUUUUAAAUGCUAGUAGUUAAUUUAUCUAAGGAUUCAAGAAAAACUUGCUAUGAGACUAGCAGAGUAGAACUUAAUCUUUUAAAAUUUGAUAAAGGGGAGAUGUAAACCAGCCUCAAUAUACAUAUGUAAUUUGUUUUGACAGAUUAAGAUAUGAACAUCUGAUUGAAAGUUAAUGUCAAAAUGCAUCAAGCAUGCAAAAUUGUCCUUAGCACCUUUGUAUAUCGUGCUAUCUGUGGUUAGAUAACACCCUAACACCCAGAGGAUCCUCUUCCGCAUUCUGAUUUUACCCAGAUUCUCCUUUUUGUGAAUCUCUAAGUGAAUCUCAAGCCUUUCAAAGCUGAAUCUCUAAAUGGUACUAAAAUACUCUGGAAAUUGUGAAGAAGUUUGAGAUAAAGUGCAUGCAUAUUCAAAUUACUUAAAUGACAGCUUUAUUUUUAGUUAAUUUUCAUUUAUGGAUGCCUCUCAAUUUUCUAUCAAAACCUAGAUAUACAGAGCCAUGAAUUCUGGCUUUUUUUCCCCAUUUCUGGCAUCUAUUUUAGAGACCUCUGCAAAUAAAAGAAAUCUGUAAAUGUGGCUCUUCCUUGUUAACCUCACACCUUUUUUUUUCUCUGCGAAACAUGUCUAACACUUAAGUCCAGAGUCAGAGCCAGGGACAGACUCUGAGGAAAGCAUGGGCACGCUAUUUUUCUUGC